rnacentral:lncRNA from 1 species
GGGCUGAUGGGGGAGGGAGAAGAUGCGAACGUCGAUGGCCUGCUGCCUACAGGAGGCUGUGAACAAACCGUUUAAUCAAACUAAUCAAGACAAAGAGAUAAAAUAAGCAUAAAGACAAUUAAAUGCCGUGGCGCACGCCGCAACAUAUGCGCGAUGAGUCGGUCACCGGAUUUUACGACAUAUUAUGGAAGCCUGCUUAUCCUUAUCAGGCAACACGGCUUGACUAAAGGAACCAUUCUUGACUUAGGGAAAAGAAAAACACGCGACGAGUUAGUGUCAUCAUCAUGACAACACUUGACACUCUGGGAACCAGGGGCGCUCAUUCCGUAUACGAUUCACGCUCAUUCCGGCUAAUAUCUACUUUGACUCUUCAUUCCACAACCCUCCAUUUCAUAUCGAGGUAACUUAAUCAUUUUGGAAUGAAGACCCCUUCGCUAAAAAAUAAAACAAGUGGCGAAUGAACGCUCCCUACGGUCUGAACGCCUGUUCAGUCUUAAACGAAGCACUCCUCCAUCACGUGAUAUGAUCAUCCCUUCAGUCCCAAAAAACCGUUUCCAUGAAAUGAGCCCUCAUCACACGAUAUGAUGACAUUUUCAGUCCAAAACGAUGCGUCUCCAAAACGAUGCCCCGUCCGUCGCGUGAUAUUAAUGAAUGUUCAGUGCAAAACAUUGCCAUUUCCAACAGACGAGCCCCUGUCCUUCACAACCAGCCCGUUCCGAUUACAAAUGCCUCCAAACGGCGUAUGAGUCAUAUCACUAUUGCAUGACUCACCAACCCACCAUCCCGAGGUGAGGAGCCCGGUGUUCCUUUCAAGGUACCUGUCACCUGAGAUUACGAAUACACCCUCCCCUUACUGCAUCAGCCUGUCCGCCGCCGAGGCCCCCGGCCGCCCCUAUCGAGGCAGGACAGUCAAGAUAACGCGACCUUUACAUCUAGUAAUCCUUGUGCCCAUGCGGCAGCCCGCCGCUGGCACCCCGUACCGUGAUCACAUUCGUCCAAUGUCCGCAGAGACGUCAAUCCCCUUGACACGUCAAUGAUGGAGUGCGGCAGGCACCCCCAGCUAGCGGCCCACAGCGGGAGUACUGGCGGUGAUCAUCUUGGUGUGUGUACCUGGCGUUACAUGAAGCGAGGCAACGGCAGGCCGGCAUUGUGGCAGCCAAAAUAACUCAAUUCCAUUUCCCGAAUUGGCAAUUGUAGAAGCAAGAGUAGUUGCAAGACUAGUAGAUGUUGUUGUUUGUUGUAGGUUCACAUCCCCAAGGGACCUCUCACCCUUGGCAGGCCUGUGAUGACCCAUGCUCUUACAUCAAAAACCUCUGCCGUACACGCCCGCCCCAGGACCGCGGGACAGUGCAUAGCGGCAAAUAAAUCCAGCCUUCUUCCGCAUAUUCUCCAGCAGCUUGUGAUAGGGUGAGGCGACUCUGCAUACGAGUGGUGUAUGCGUAUUAGAUACUUGGCAGCAUAGCCCCCCCGAUCUGCCCCUCAGAGGGUGUCCUGGUUAGCCACAUGGGUGCGGACUGCAGUCGCACGGGCCGUUAUUAUAAUGGACCCACCAUCGCCCGCGUCAUGGCCCUGGCGCUGCCACUGCUGCUGUUGCUGGUUGUUAUUGCGGGGAGUGCCCGUGAGUACUUUUACCUAUAAUUUCACAUCGUAUGUACCUGUGUGGAGAUCAACUUAUUUUGGUCCGCCAUGGCUAUAGCAUGAAUGCCACGUCAGGCCAUGUCGUAGGAACACACAUACAUGCCGGGUCAGCUCAUCACUGCACCCACCCGCGCACGGGGUAACCUCCCACACCCGGCAUCGCUGCCCUAGCGGUAACGGACGGUACACCACCUGCCCUGUCCACCCCACCCUCCCUGCUUUCCUGCCCACCCGCCCAGUCUUAUCUCCCCCCCACCCUGUGACGGGCCCCACCCGCCGCCGCUGCCCUCUACAGCUGCUGUGACAGCCCAGGAAGUGGGACACCGCAAGCUGCUGCAGGCUUCCACAUCCACAUCAAGUAGGUUGACUGCGGGUGGGAGGGGCCGUGUCCAUAGAUGAGUAUUUGCC